UACGUAGGGGGCUAGCGUUGUCCGGAAUCAUUGGGCGUAAAGCGCGCGUAGGCGGCCCGGUAAGUCCGCUGUGAAAGUCCAGGGCUCAACCCUGGAAAGCCGGUGGAUACUGCCGGGCUAGAGUCCGGAAGAGGCGAGUGGAAUUCCUGGUGUAGCGGUGGAAUGCGCAGAUAUCAGGAAGAACACCCGUGGCUAAGGCGGCUCUCUAGUACGGUACUGACGCUGAGACGCGAAAGCGUGGGGAGCGAACAGG
rnacentral:rRNA from 1 species